rnacentral:rRNA from 1 species
GGUGGCGGCGUGGAUAAGACAUGCAAGUCGAACGGGACUUUCAUUGUAGCAAUAUGAUGGAAGUUCAGUGGCGUAAGGGUGCGUAACACGUGGGAAAUCUGCCGAGAAGUGGGGGAUAGCUCGCCGAAAGGCGAAUUAAUACCGCAUGUGGUCAGCGAGGACAUCCUCGCAAAACCAAAGCCGGGGCAACCUGGCGCUUCUUGAUGAUCCCGCGGCCUAUCAGCUAGUUGGCGGGGUAAAAGCCCACCAAGGCUAUGACGGGUAGCUGGUCUGAGAGGACGACCAGCCACACUGGAACUGAGACACGGUCCAGACACCUACGGGUGGCAGCAGUCGAGAAUUUUUCUCAAUGGGGGCAACCCUGAAGGAGCGACGCCGCGUGGAGGAUGAAGGUCUUCGGAUUGUAAACUCCUGUCAUUAGGGAACAAAUCUUCCAAGUAACUACUGGAAGUCUGAUAGUACCUGAAGAGGAAGAGACGGCUAACUCUGUGCCAGCAGCCGCGGUAAUACAGAGGUCUCAACCGUUGUUCGGAUUCAUUGGGCGUAAAGGGUGCGUAGGCGGCGGGGCAAGUCAGGUGUGAAAUCUCGGGGCUCAACCCCGAAACUGCACUUGAUACUGCUUCGCUAGAGUACUGGAGAGGAGACUGGAAUUUACGGUGUAGCAGUGAAAUGCGUGGAUAUCGUA